AGCGAACGCUGGCGGCGUACUUAACACAUGCAAGUCGAACGAGGAUCAUCGGGUUAGCAAUAAUUCGGUGGUCCUAGUGGCGCACGGGUGAGUAACACGUGGGUGACCUGCCCUUGAGCUCGGGAUACCCCCUCGAAAGGGGGGCUAAUACCGGAUACGUUCCUCGGUCGAAAGACUGAGGAGGAAAGGUGGCGCAAGCUGCCGCUCUUGGAGGGGCUCGCGGCCUAUCAGCUAGUUGGCGGGGUAACGGCCCACCAAGGCUAUGACGGGUAGCUGGUCUGAGAGGACGACCAGCCACACGGGGACUGAGACACGGCCCCGACUCCUACGGGAGGCAGCAGUGGGGAAUUUUCCGCAAUGGGCGAAAGCCUGACGGAGUGACGCCGCGUGUGGGAC
rnacentral:rRNA from 1 species